AAAUUGAAGAGUUUGAUCAUGGCUCAGAUUGAACGCUGGCGGCAGGCCUAACACAUGCAAGUCGAACGGUAACAGGAAACAGCUUGCUGUUUCGCUGACGAGUGGCGGACGGGUGAGUAAUG
rnacentral:rRNA from 1 species